GUCUUAGUAGUAAAAAUUUAUUACUUUAUCUUUUCGAGAUAAAAGUGCCUUCCGCCUAAGAUU
rnacentral:tRNA from 1 species